rnacentral:rRNA from 1 species
CCUACGGGUGACAGCAGUGGGGAAUAUUGCACAAUGGGCGAAAGCCUGAUGCAGCGACGCAGCGUGAAUGAAGAAGGAUUUCGGUAUGUAAAGCUCUAUCAGCAGGGAAGAAAAUUACGGUACCUAAUUGAGUAUCCCCGGCUAACUACGUGCCAGCAGCCGCGGUAAUACGUAGGGGGCAAGCGUUAUCCGGAUUUACUGGGUGUAAAGGGAGCGUAGACGGGUGCACAAGUCUGGAGUGAAAUGCCGGGGCUUAACCCCGGAACUGCUUUGGAAACUGGCCAGCUAGAGUGCAGGAGAGGUAAGUGGAAUUCCUAGUGUAGCGGUGAAAUGCGUAGAUAUUAGGAGGAACACCAGUGGCGAAGGCGGCUUACUGGACUGUAACUGACGUUGAGGCUCGAAAGCGUGGGGAGCAAACAGGAUUAGAUACCCGGGUAGUC